rnacentral:rRNA from 1 species
CCUACGGGUGGCUGCAGUGGGGAAUAUUGGACAAUGGGCGAAAGCCUGAUCCAGCCAUGCCGCGUGUGUGAAGAAGGCCUUCGGGUUGUAAAGCACUUUCAGUGGGGAAGAAAGCCUUGGGGCUAAUACCCUCGAGGAAGGACAUCACCCACAGAAGAAGCACCGGCUAACUCCGUGCCAGCAGCCGCGGUAAUACGGAGGGUGCGAGCGUUAAUCGGAAUUACUGGGCGUAAAGCGCGCGUAGGCGGUCUGAUAAGCCGGUUGUGAAAGCCCCGGGCUCAACCUGGGAACGGCAUCCGGAACUGUCAGGCUAGAGUGCAGGUGAGGAAGGUAGAAUUCCCGGUGUAGCGGUGAAAUGCGUAGAGAUCGGGAGGAAUACCAGUGGCGAAGGCGGCCUUCUGGACUGACACUGACGCUGAGGUGCGAAAGCGUGGGUAGCAAACAGGAUUAGAUACCCCUGUAGUC